rnacentral:rRNA from 1 species
GAGUUUGAUCGUGGCUCAGGAUAAACGCUGGCGGCGCACAUAAGACAUGCAAGUCGAACGAACUUAAUUUUAAUAUUUAUAUUAAAAAGACGGUUAGUGGCGGACUGGUGAGUAACGCGUAAGCAAUCUGCCUAUCAGAGGGGGAAUAACAGUGAGAAAUCAUUGCUAAUACCGCAUAUGCCAUAAGAAUCACAUGAUUCUAGUGGGAAAGGAGCAAUCCACUGAUAGAUGAGCUUGCGUCUGAUUAGCUAGUUGGUGGGAUAACGGCCUACCAAGGCGACGAUCAGUAGCCGGACUGAGAGGUUGAACGGCCACAUUGGGCUGAGAUACGGCCCAGACUCCUACGGGAGGCAGCAGUCGGGAAUAUUGCGCAAUGGAGGAAACUCUGACGCAGUGACGCCGCGUAUAGGAAGAAGGUUUUCGGAUUGUAAACUAUUGUCGUUAGGAAGAUAAAAGACAGUACCUAAGGAGGAAGCUCCGGCUAACUACGUGCCAGCAGCCGCAGUAA